GGCUGCAAUAUUUAUAAUUGUACAAAGGUAGCAUAAUAAUUUGUUUUUUAAUUAAAAACUAGAAUGAACGAUUUAAUGAAAUAUAAACUCUAUCUAUUAAUAAAAUUUAAAUUUUUAUUUAAAUAAAAAAAUUUAAAUAAAUAUAAAAGACGACAAGACCCUAUAGAAUUUUAUUUAAAUAAAAUUACUAUUAAUCAUAAUAAAUUAAUUAACUUUAAAUUUAAUUGGGGUAAUUAAAAAAUUAAAUAAAUUUUUUUAAAAUAAUACAUCAAUAAAUGAAUUAAUUAUUUUAAAUUUUAAAUUAUUAAAAUUAAUUACCUUAGGGAUAACAGCAUAAUUUUUUUUAAAAGACCUUAUUAAUAAAAAAGAUUAU
rnacentral:rRNA from 1 species